CGUAGGCGGUCUGCUAAGUUCGGAGUGACAGUCACCAGCUUAACUGGUGAAGGAUUUUGAAAACUGGCGGACUUGAGAGCGAAAGAGGGACAUGGAAUUCCGGGUGGAGCAGUGAAAUGCGUAGAGAUCCGGAGGAACACCAAGGCGAAGGCAGUGUCCUGGUUCGUAUCUGACGCUGAGGCGCGAAAGCCAGGGGAGCGAACGGGAUUAGAUACCCCGGUAGUCCUGGCCGUAAACGAUGACCACUAGGUGUGGGAGGGAUCGACCCCUUCCGUGCCGCAGUCAACACAGUAAGUGGUCCGCCUGGGGAGUACGGUCGCAAGACUAAA
rnacentral:rRNA from 1 species